UAUUUACUGGGUAGAUUACACUGAUUCCUAUAUUCAGUGUACUAGAAGUAUGGUCUGUAGAUAGAUUGACCAAUCGGCAGUGAUGACUAGUUUCUUUGAAGAUUUUGGUGGUGUUUAUGACCUAGAAGUUGUGCACCAGUAUCUGUGGGUAUUUUGUUUCCGAAUUCUCCAACUGUUCCUGGUUUAAGAACCUGACUUCUUAAUGUAGUGUCCUGCCUUGUUCAUUCACAGAUGGAAAAAUGUUAGUGUAGCCCGUGCCCUGCCUCACUUAUUCACUGAUGGACAAGAGUUAGUGUAGCCAACACUUGGUACACUUUUAGAUCUACCUCUGAAUUUAAAAUUAUGGAUUGAUUUUUAAGUUAUUUGGAUGAUGAUGUUUCUGAAGUAGAUUUUAGAGAGGCAACAAGAUGUUUCUCAAGUUUUAUAGUUUUUAAUUGACACAGAAAUUGUGAAGGCAUAAAUUACAAAACCUUGCAUCUUACACCAAAUCAUUGUGGAUGUGUGUUUUUCGUGCAUUGUGCUACAUGCUCUGCUGUUGUGUGUGCCUUUUUAGAGGACAUUGAGUCAAUGUCAUUUCCUAAAUAACUCCAUGGUAUAUGUGUUUUUAUCAGCAUGUAGUCUCACCUUCUUUGUAACCCCCUACCCCCGUUAUUUAUACUGUAGUCUCACUUUCCUUGUAAUCCCUGCCCCCCGUUAUUUGUACCUAGCAGCCCUACAAUCAUGCCUUCCUGGGUCCAGCUUUAACUUCACCUCACUAAUUUCUUGAGGAAGCAUUCGUUCAACCAGUCUGUGGUCUAAUAUUCUAACAUUUUGUGUAAAUUAUUUCAUAUAUUUAUAAGUAUUAUAGAAGGUUGUAUACUUAUAUUUUUAAUCAAUUACUUAUUUAAUAGCAUGCAAGAGCAUAUACAUAUAUAGGAUUUGGGAACUAUGCAAAUCCCAGACAUUGUGUUGAGAUUUAAAAUGUAUGUGUAUCCUAUUUAAAGCUUUUGCUGUCUUGUUAGGAUGAUGGAUAUAUUUGAGUCAUCUUGGUCUGUCUAAUGUCUGUCGCCCCCCUCUCUCUCACACCGAUAUGAGCCACCCUGUUGUCCAGUGUCUCCCUAUAUAAACUUGAGUGGAUGGUAGUCAUUAGGCCGAUAGAAACCAGGCUUCCCGUACAAGUAGAGUGCUUAGCUGUACACUUGUUGCAUAAUUCAAGAUACUGAACAACAAAUGCUGAAAAUUCGAUAACAUUUUGAGAUGUAUAAAAACAAAGGUUAGCAGAGUAAUUAAACUGAUAGUGUUCUAAAUUGUGAAAUAGAAGUAGUGAUUUGAUUGGCAGCACAUUUUUACCUAUUGUGAUCUGUGUAUGUCUGCAUAGAAAUGACCUUGUAUUUUUAUUGUAUCUAAGUAGCACAUUGUAAUACAUGAAUACUUGACCAUUUGUACUGACAUUUUGAUUAAAUUAUGAAUGUACU
rnacentral:misc_RNA from 1 species